rnacentral:tRNA from 3 species
GGUGGAGCAGCACGGUAGCUCGUCGGGCUCAUAACCCGAAGGUCGCAGGUUCAAAUCCUGUCCCCGCAACCA